rnacentral:rRNA from 1 species
UGGGGAAUAUUGGACAAUGGGCGAAAGCCUGAUCCAGCCAUGCCGCGUGUGUGAAGAAGGUCUUCGGAUUGUAAAGCACUUUAAGUUGGGAGGAAGGGCAGUAAGUUAAUACCUUGCUGUUUUGACGUUACCAACAGAAUAAGCACCGGCUAACUUCGUGCCAGCAGCCGCGGUAAUACGAAGGGUGCAAGCGUUAAUCGGAAUUACUGGGCGUAAAGCGCGCGUAGGUGGUUUGGUAAGAUGGAUGUGAAAUCCCCGGGCUCAACCUGGGAACUGCAUCCAUAACUGCCUGACUAGAGUACGGUAGAGGGUGGUGGAAUUUCCUGUGUAGCGGUGAAAUGCGUAGAUAUAGGAAGGAACACCAGUGGCGAAGGCGACCACCUGGACUAAUACUGACACUGAGGUGCGAAAGCGUGGGGAGCAAACA